CGAGCACUGAAUGAAUCAUGCAGAACAGUUUGUAAAAACCCUGGAUACAGCCUCAGAGUAUGCAAGCUAUUUUCCUGGAAGAAGUUGCGUAGAAUUUCAUUAGUGGCAUGAAUCUGGUUUCCCUAGGUUUCCAGACAUUUCCACUUAAUUACAGGCCUCUUCAUGCAUGGGAUUUCAUUCUGUCUUGAUAGGCUUCCUGUUUUCUUUCGGAAACUUUUUGAAGACCCUGUCAGGUCUGAGACUGAUCAUGAUGAAUCCCUUCUCUGCCUGUAUGGCACUCAUUAAGUGAUCCGCAUUCCAGCAGAAAUCCAUAUAGCUAACAGAAAGCAAGAAGGCAAGAACUCCUCCUGGAGCAGCACAAAGGUCUGUGUAGCAUCUGGUUCCAAAUCUCCACCUAGGUGUGGGGAUGGCUGUCUUAGAGAAAGGUAUAUGAUUCUCAUAGCUGGGAGGUCAGGGAUAAUGUUUCUCAUUUUCUCCCCUCUCUUACUCUAGUAAGUCUAUUUUGUAUCUGUAAUAAUUAGGUUUUUGCUUAAGCUCUGAAGAAUGAAGCUGAACAACCAGGAUGUAUCUGUUAGCAAUAUUUAUAACUCUGGAUAUUCUUGCUAUCUGUAGGAAUAUAAACCUUAUCAUAACCCCACUUAUUCAUCUCUGGCAGGAGUUGCCAGGUUCAGGUGCACAUGUCAUUAAUGAUGCAUAAGCUAUCGCAAAGAAAGAACAAAUGCUGGCUCAACAGCUGAAUGUCCCCAUGGAAAACAUCCAUGGGCAACCUUGGAUGGACGUGGUAGUGCUGCACCAUUACCUGUGUCAAGUGGAGAGUCAGGAGACUCCUUAUCAGAGCCAAACACUUUGCAACACUAGUUUCAGAAUACAAUUUUCACCACCUGGAUCAGCAUGAAGUAUUCUUAUUUACCUACUGUGUGUUCCUGGCCCAUUUUUUAGCAUGACAUGCUCAGUUAUGACAAUGCAGCAGCUUCUGUAUUUGUGUCUCUGGGAACUGCUGCAGCUUGAGAGGACCAGGCUUGGAAAAACUGCAUUACUUCCCCAUUCCAGUUCAGAGCAUAGCCAAGCAAACAGUUGUGCCUGGACAACUAGCUGACACUAGAUGGCUAACUUCACUGCUGUUGUUUCAUGAUAUGAAUCUCCUGUUUUUCCCUCUACUCACCCAUCCAUAUCUAUCUACUGUUGAAUUUAGAGUAGAAAAGGGCCUAUUCUGUUUAUGUCCAUAGCAACUUGAGGACUGUAAUGUUUGUUUCGUGCUUGAAACUCCUCAAUUCUUGCAUUAAUAGCCGCAGCUGAUGAC